AUCAACACGAUCGACUAGUACCGGACCCAUGCACUGUCUCUCUCUCUCUCUGUCUAUGCAGCCCUUCUUUUUUCUUUUCUUUCUCGUAAAAUGAAGAACAACCCUGGACAAGAGCCGAGUUGCAGAUUGAUGAGAUGAUGAUGAUGACGAUGACGAUGAAUUGGAGUUUAUGUAAAGGAAGCAUGUCCUUUUGAGGGGAAUGUUGUCUGGCACGAGGCCACCAAUCUUGGUUCCUUCCAAAUUUCAAUCCAUACCGAUCUUUGAUCAGAAUUUACGUUCUACGUACAGACGCUCAGGGACUGUGUAUGUUAGUGUCCUCGGACCAGGCUUCAUUCCCCUCAAUUCACUGCUUUCAUCUAAUUUGCCAACACAGCAGUGUUCUUGAUUAUUUUCGCCAAUAUUGGUAUUCCGAUCUACUGCGUGUGGCGGAUCCAUCGAUCUCCAGGUGGGUUUGACUAAUCCCAAAACUGUUUCUAAUUUGAGAUGUUGAUCAACUAGCAGAUUGGUGUAAUGAUAUAUGUAUAGGGUCUGGAAAAGAAAAAACAUUAAUCAUUUGCUUUUGACUUAUGAUUCAUGUUUUCACUAUAAAUUUCAUGUUUUCCACAUUUGGAUGUGAAUUUCUGUCUGUCUUUUACUUUUUUGGUUCAUCAUUGGAUAGAGUUUUCUCUUGACAACCCUAGGUUUUCCAAUCUGUCUGAUAUUGUCUUUGGUGUUAGCUAUCUAGGGUUAAACCUCCUUGCUCUUUUUUGUUUCUUUUUUUAUUAAUAAAUAAUAGAUCUCAUGAUUACUUUUCGUUUUCUUCUCAAACCUCCCUAGGGUUUGUUAAGAGCAAACAAAUUUUGGGGUUUCAUCUCUUGGAUAAUAUCGAUCCAUUCAAAAACAUUAAGCUAAUUGGUUCGCUAAGAUUAAGCUAAUUGUUUGUUAAUUAAAUAAUGAUUUCAGCAGUUUAUACUUGGUGGUAGUGGUAGUGGUAGUGGGGGGGUGGGAUGGAGUUGCAGAGCUGUAUCACAGUAUAAGUAUGAUAUUGAUCUCCAUCCCCUUUCAGCAGCUUUACUAAUGUAUUGAUGUCAAUAUAUUAUUUGUUUAACUCCAAUGUUUUGAGACUUUUAUUGGAAAAGACUUGGAUGGAGUUGCCGUAAAGAUAUAUCCACACUCGCAGUGCGGACAUAUAUUCUGUCGAUUCUUUUUUAUUGUGAUACCGUUUCCUUUUGUAAAAGAGGGGCAUCAUCUUUCUUUCAUGUCUUUUCGAAAUCUUUCUUUUCGUUUCAGUGUUUUUUCUUGACAAUGCCAUCUAUAUCCUCUACAUAUAUACUUAUCUAUGUUAUAUACGUGUGUGUUCAUGUGUCUGUAAUGUAUGGAGGGGAGGAGGGGUUUGAGGUUCAGCUUGAAUACAGCAUGAUCACACCAUUUAGUUUUUUUCCUUAUGAUCUGUUUGAAUCGAAGACAUCCCCCCCUUUUGUUACAGAUACAGAUAUAGAUUGGCAUGAGCUUAUAUUGCCUCCAAUUCUGAGAAUGCCGGUUUUUGCAUUUUUAAUUUCCAUGUCCACAUUUACUUAAUUAUUGUGAGUUGGGAUAUGGCUUUGCCUUGGAUCAUGUAUGCACAUUCUCAUUUUGUCAUAUAUAUAUAUAUAUACUACUUAGUACUGUUUAAUGGCAGGGAGGGCCACGUGAUUAGUAAAAUAAACAUUUGGUACAUUUUAUAUAUUAUAUAUUAUAUGGUGAGAGUAGUGGGUUGCAGGUGUGCAAUGUGCAAUAUUGUGCAAUGUGCAAUGUGCGAGACAAAGGACAGAACAAAAAAAGAAGAAGACGACUUUUAUUUUCAUUAGGUGGAACAGAAAGCGAUCACUCUGGAAAUGUUAUGCAGGUUUUAUAUUGCCACCUGCAGUGAAGACGAUGAAGCAUCAUGCCUUAACACUUCAAGACUCGCUUGUUUAUUUAUGAGGAGAAUUACCUCUUAUGUACUUCUUCAUAGAGAAGUGAUUCUGCAAGAAGUGUUUUUUGUCUCAUCUAAAAUCACUCUCAAUUCAUUCCGCUAAAUAUAUAAAAGAAUUUUUAAUUUUUACAAAGCCAAAUGUACAAGAUUACCAGAAAUUAACAAUUGGACUUGUUUUGGGAU